rnacentral:lncRNA from 1 species
UUAAAAGAUUUAUUUAAAUGGUACAAAAAUGGUACAAAAAUGUGUACAUAAAAAAAUAAUAAUAAAAAAUACAAACAAAAAAAAAACACCAUAAAAUUCCCCACAUAUUCAUUAUGUCUUCAUCAGAAGGCAAAUCCAAACCACACUUUGGAAAAAAAUAAUUCUCUGUAACAUAGUGCCAGAUUUAGCAUAGAGCACCCAGGCUUCGAAGCAGCAAACCAAAUAUAACUAUGAUGUUGAAAUAUCUUUAAGUGAGAGCAACGUUCUAAUCAGUUAUGUAAAAGACUGUUUCUCAAAAGAUCUUUUCCAAGUCUAAACUGAAAUUUGGUCUAUUCUGCAAUAAAUGAAUAUGUGAGCAUUCAAAAUUUACUUGUAAAUAUUGAAAUCAUAUUGCUUAUCUUUUCAGAGGUUUUGGCUCUUUUACCACUCUGGCAUCAUUGGAAUUGCUUGUUUAUUGUAAACGCUGGUUGUCAGUGAGAGUUUCAGUAUUUCUCAUUGGUUUUAUCAUUCAAACAAGAACUUAGAUGAAUGCAACCUUUUGCGCUGUUUGUAUGUUGACCCUCUCUGCUCAACCACAAAAUGUUAUAUUUCACUUGGAAAAAUUCAUUCGACCAUGAUAUAAACUGUAUUUCUUAAGAAUGAUUGAUACAUGAGGAAAUUCUGCACAACAAAUGAAUGACACUCAAUCAUGGCAACUAGGAUCAACUCUGCCAACAGAGACUUGGCAUGAAUGGUUUCAUCUAGUUCUUCUUAUCUAGGGUGAACAACAAGGAAUUCAAUUGGUUUAUGAUGCUGAACAGAACUCACUUCUCAGGUGAAGGCCAUACCCACGAGCAGUCUAUAUAUUGCUAUACAAUAAUACCAUCCCUUCCAAAACUAUUCAAACACUUGAGAAGCAUCCUAUGUCAGGAAGCAUUUACAGUUCUGUGUGGACUUAAUACAGGAAAACCUCAUAUGUUUUCACAGAAGUUAUAUCUGAAUAUAUUGCAAGUUAUGCUCCGGUUCCAGCUGUCCAGUUACAGCUCUGGAUCACAGCCAGAAUUACUGCAUAAAAUUCAACUUUCAAAAUCAUAUUUAGCUGGAAUGGAUUUGACUUCAGAGAAGCUAUAUAUAUGAACAAGUCAGUAUGCACAACUUAUUAGCAGACAGAAAUAGCUGAACUUAACUGAUGCAGACUAUUUAUAGAAAAUGAAGUUACAUUAGCAGCUUGUCUGUGAGAGCAGAAGAUACUUUCUGUUUGCCAUUUUCUUUUGACUUGAGAGAAACAAGUCUGGCUGACUUAAGGACAGAAAGAAUGGCAGGCCAUGCUCUAUUCUAUUGUUCUGACACAGAAUAGUAGAAAAUGUGUCUUAUCUAGUAGUGGAAUGUUUAAUGGACCCUUUAUUAAUCCUUGAUUACAGGUCUUUGUAAUAUACUGUGGUACUGGUUGCUGAUUUGAAAAAAAAAAAAAGUGCUCAUUGUGCUGGGCACCGCAAAACCUGUACAAAUACAAACUAAAAAAAGAAGUUUAAAAAAAAAACACUG